ACCUGCGGAAGGAUCAUUAUUGAAUUAAACUUGAUGUGGGUUGUAGCUGGCCAUUUUUUGGUAUGUGCUCGCCUCAUCAUUUUUAUAUUUCCACCUGUGCACCUUCUGUAGACAUAUAAGUGAAAAGGAUUUGUUGAAUUGUUACAAGUUUGACAAUUUCUUUUUUCAACUUGUCUAUAUUUUUACUACAUACCCCAAAUGUGUAAUAGAAUGUUAUUCAUGGGCCUUGUUGCCUAUAAUAAAAAUCUAUACAACUUUCAGCAACGGAUCUCUUGGCUCUCGCAUCGAUGAAGAACGCAGCGAAAUGCGAUAAGUAAUGUGAAUUGCAGAAUUCAGUGAAUCAUCGAAUCUUUGAACGCACCUUGCGCUCCUUGGUAUUCCGAGGAGCAUGCCUGUUUGAGUGUCAUUAAAUUCUCAACCUUGACAACUUUUGUUGCUUCAAUGUGUUGGAUUUGGGGGGGAUGUGUUGGCCUUGGUCAACUCCUCUGAAAUGCAUUAGCUGGUCAACUUGCAUUAAUUUUGGUGUCAUAAUUAUUAAUGCCGCUAAGAUGCUUGAGAAGACUGCUUCUAAUUUAGUUGUCUUUGGACAAUAUUUGACAAUUUGACCUCAAAUCAGGUAG
rnacentral:rRNA from 1 species